rnacentral:rRNA from 1 species
CAGCAGCCGCGGUAAUUCCAGCUCUCCGAGUGGUAGGGAUGAUUAUUGGGCUUAAAGCGUUCGUAGCCGGCCCGGCAAGUCUUCCGUUAAAUCCAGCGACCUAAUCGUUGGGCCGCGGAAGAUACUGUUGGGCUAGGGGGCGGGAGAGGCCGACGGUAUUCUCGGGGUAGGGGUGAAAUCCUAUAAUCCCGGGAGGACCACCAGUGGCGAAGGCUGUCGGCUAGAACGCGCUCGACGGUGAGGGACGAAAGCUGGGGGAGCGAACCGGAUUAGAUACCCGGGUAGUCCCAGCUGUAAACAAUGCGGGCUAGGUGUUGGGGUGGCUACGAGCCACUUCAGUGCCGCAGGGAAGCCAUUAAGCCCGCCGCCUGGGGAGUACGCCGCAAGGCUGAAACUUAAAGGAAUUGGCGGGGGAGCACCACAAGGCGUGAAGCUUGCGGUUUAAUUGGAGUCAACGCCGGGAACCUUACCGGGGGCGACAGCAGAAUGAAGGCCAGAUUGAAGGUCUUGCUGGACAAGCUGAGAGGAGGUGCAUGGCCGUCGCCAGUUCGUGCCGUGAGGUGUCCUGUUAAGUCAGGCAACGAUCGAGACCCGCACCCUUAGUUGCAACCCCUGCGGAAUCCGCAGGGGGCACACUACGGGAACUGCCGCCGAUAAGGUGGAGGAAGGAGCGGGCCACGGCAGGUCAGUAUGCCCCGAAUCCCCCGGGCCACACGCGAGCUGCAAUGGCAGGGACAAUGGGUUCCAACCUUGAAAGAGGGAGGUAAUCCCUAAACCCUGCCUCAGUUGGGAUCGAGGGCUGCAACCCGCCCUCGUGAACAUGGAAUGCCUAGUAAUCGCGCGUCAUCAUCGCGCAGUGAAUACGUCCCCGCUCCUUGCACACACCGCCCGU